AUACUUACCUGUCAGGGGAGAUACCAUGAUGACGAAGGUGGUUUUCCCAGGCUGAGAAUAGGUUUUCUUCUUAUCUUUUGAUCUUUAUAUCACC
rnacentral:snRNA from 1 species